AGAGGAAAAGCAGCAAACGAGAUUGCAGUGACACCAGCAAAGACUGCGAUUGGUGCAGCAGCAGCUGCAGCCUGGCCUGGAUUGGGUGCGCUGUAUACAAACUAAGUGAAAACAGCUUAUAAAGGGAGGCUAUACUAGAACUUACCCUCCGUAUGCACUUGUAAACAAGAAAGGAGACUGCUGCACCCAUCAAUGGAGAAAUGACCCAAGAUGAAGAUACUCUAGCCAGAGAACUCCAGAAAACUGCAUUCACCCCUCCAUACACCAGCCCAAAACCAACCAUAGCCCCAACUAUACAAUGUGUAGUUGAGACAGGCCAGCCAUAUGACGAAGCAACCUAAGAAAUAGCACAGAGUGGUUAUUAAAGAUGCAGUUAGCCGCUAUGAUUUGUUUGGAAACAUUAACUAGCUUCUAUGAGUGCUGAAGAAAUUGGGUGAAGUCUCAGUAAUUCCGUGAUCCUCAUGUCCACUAGAAAACUGCAUGAUCUGAUUGGCGUGGUGUAGCAAAGCUGCAGAACUCAAAAGGGCGAUGGAACAUACCUGCAGCCAUGUACCGGC